rnacentral:rRNA from 1 species
GAUGAACGCUGGCGGCGUGCUUAACACAUGCAAGUCGAACGGAAAGGCUCCUGCUUGCAGGGGUACUCGAGUGGCGAACGGGUGAGUAACACGUGGGUGAACUGCCCUGCACUUCGGGAUAAGCCUGGGAAACUGGGUCUAAUACCGGAUAGGACGAUGGUUUGGAUGCCAUUGUGGAAAGUUUUUCGGUGUGGGAUGAGCUCGCGGCCUAUCAGCUUGUUGGUGGGGUAAUGGCCUACCAAGGCGUCGACGGGUAGCCGGCCUGAGAGGGUGUACGGCCACAUUGGGACUGAGAUACGGCCCAGACUCCUACGGGAGGCAGCAGUGGGGAAUAUUGCACAAUGGGCGCAAGCCUGAUGCAGCGACGCCGCGUGGGGGAUGACGGCCUUCGGGUUGUAAACUCCUUUCGCUAGAGACGAAGCGCAAGUGACGGUACCUGGAGAAGAAGCACCGGCUAACUACGUG